AAUUGAGGCGAAACUAAAUUUUUCUGAAAUUCAUUCACGGAUUGAGAAUGCUUUCUGAAAUAGCUAGAAUCGCCUCAAU
rnacentral:tRNA from 1 species